UGGGGAAUUUUGGACAAUGGGCGAAAGCCUGAUCCAGCAAUGCCGCGUGUGUGAAGAAGGCCUUCGGGUUGUAAAGCACUUUUGUCCGGAAAGAAAUGGCUCUGGUUAAUACCUGGGGUCGAUGACGGUACCGGAAGAAUAAGGACCGGCUAACUACGUGCCAGCAGCCGGGGUAAUACGUAGGGUCCAAGCGUUAAUCGGAAUUACUGGGCGUAAAGCGUGCGCAGGCGGUUGUGCAAGACCGAUGUGAAAUCCCCGAGCUUAACUUGGGAAUUGCAGUGGUGACUGCACGGCUAGAGUGUGUCAGAGGGGGGUAGAAUUCCACGUGUAGCAGUGAAAUGCGUAGAAAUGUGGAGGAAUACCGAUGGCGAAGGCAGCCCCCUGGGAUAACACUGACGCUCAUGCACGAAAGCGUGGGGAGCAAACAGG
rnacentral:rRNA from 1 species